CAGAGGGUGCGAGCGUUAAUCGGAAUUACUGGGCGUAAAGCGCGCGUAGGCGGUUUGUUAAGUCGGAUGUGAAAUCCCCGGGCUCAACCUGGGAAUUGCAUUCGAUACUGGCAAGCUAGAGUAUGGGGAGAGGAAGGUAGAAUUCCAGGUGUAGCGGUGAAAUGCGUAGAGAUCUGGAGGAAUACCGAUGGCGAAGGCAGCCUUCUGGCCUAAUACUGACGCUGAGGUGCGAAAGCAUGGGAGCAAACAGGAUU
rnacentral:rRNA from 1 species